CGGUGUUUAAUCACACCUUCCCUUCGGGGCUGAGGUGACAGGUGGUGCAUGGUUGUCGUCAGCUCGUGUCGUGAGAUGUUGGGUUAAGUCCCGCAACGAGCGCAACCCUUGUCUUUAGUUGCCAGCAUUCAGUUGGGCACUCUAGAGAGACUGCCAGGGAUAACCUGGAGGAAGGUGGGGAUGACGUCAAAUCAUCAUGCCCCUUAUGCUUAGGGCUACACACGUGCUACAAUGGGUGGUACAGAGGGUUGCCAAACCGUGAGGUGGAGCUAAUCCCUUAAAGCCAUUCUCAGUUCGGAUUGUAGGCUGAAACUCGCCUACAUGAAGCUGGAGUUACUAGUAAUCGCAGAUCAGAAUGCUGCGGUGAAUGCGUUCCCGGGUCUUGUACACACCG
rnacentral:rRNA from 1 species